rnacentral:rRNA from 1 species
GAUGAACGCUGGCGGCGUGCCUAAUACAUGCAAGUCGAGCGAACAGACGAGGAGCUUGCUCCUCUGACGUUAGCGGCGGACGGGUGAGUAACACGUGGAUAACCUACCUAUAAGACUGGGAUAACUUCGGGAAACCGGAGCUAAUACCGGAUAAUAUAUUGAACCGCAUGGUUCAAUAGUGAAAGACGGUUUUGCUGUCACUUAUAGAUGGAUCCGCGCCGCAUUAGCUAGUUGGUAAGGUAACGGCUUACCAAGGCAACGAUGCGUAGCCGACCUGAGAGGGUGAUCGGCCACACUGGAACUGAGACACGGUCCAGACUCCUACGGGAGGCAGCAGUAGGGAAUCUUCCGCAAUGGGCGAAAGCCUGACGGAGCAACGCCGCGUGAAUGAUGAAGGUCUUCGGAUCGUAAAACUCUGUUAUUAGGGAAGAACAAAUGUGUAAGUAACUAUGCACGUCUUGACGGUACCUAAUCAGAAACCCACGGCUAACUACGUG